rnacentral:rRNA from 1 species
AGAUUGAACGCUGGCGGCAUGCCUUACACAUGCAAGUCGAACGGCAGCACGGGAGCAAUCCUGGUGGCGAGUGGCGAACGGGUGAGUAAUACAUCGGAACGUGCCCAGUCGUGGGGGAUAACGCAGCGAAAGCUGUGCUAAUACCGCAUACGAUCUAUGGAUGAAAGCGGGGGAUCGCAAGACCUCGCGCGAUUGGAGCGGCCGAUAUCAGAUUAGCUAGUUGUGGGUAAAAGCUACCAAGGCGACGAUCUGUAGCUGGUCUGAGAGGACGACCAGCCACACUGGAACUGAGACACGGUCCAGACUCCUACGGGAGGCAGCAGUGGGGAAUUUUGGACAAUGGGCGCAAGCCUGAUCCAGCAAUGACCGCGUGCAGGAUGAAGCCUUGGUGUAACUAGACUUUGUACGAACGAAACGGUUACUACUCUAAUACUAGGGACUAAGUAGAACGGUACCGUAAAGAAGUAAGACGAACCGCGAAACGUACGUAGACCG